AGGAUGAACGCUGGCGGCGUGCUUAAGACAUGCAAGUCGAACGAUGAUGGGAGCUUGCUCUGGAUUAGUGGCGAACGGGUGAGUAACACGUGAGUACCUGCCCUUAACUCUGGGAUAAGCCUGGGAAACUGGGUCUAAUACCGGAUAUGACUCCUCAUCGCAUGGUGGGGGGUGGAAAGCUUUUUUGUGGUUUUGGAUGGACUCGCGGCCUAUCAGCUUGUUGGUGAGGUAAUGGCUUACCAAGGCGACGACGGGUAGCCGGCCUGAGAGGGUGACCGGCCACACUGGGACUGAGACACGGCCCAGACUCCUACGGGAGGCAGCAGUGGGAAUAUUGCACAAUGGGCGCAAGCCUGAUGCAGCGACGCCGCGUGAGGGAUGACGGCCUUCGGGUUGUAAACCUCUUUCAGUAGGGAAGAAGCGAAAGUGACGGUACCUGCAGAAGAAGCGCCGGCUAACUACGUGCCAGCAGCCGCGGUAAUACGUAGGGCGCAAGCGUUAUCCGGAAUUAUUGGGCGUAAAGAGCUCGUAGGCGGUUUGUCGCGUCUGCCGUGAAAGUCGGGGCUCAACUCCGGAUCUGCGGUGGUACGGGCAGACUAGAGUGAUGUAGGGGAGACUGGAAUUCCUGGUGUAGCGGUGAAAUGCGCAGAUAUCAGGAGGAACACCGAUGGCGAAGGCAGUCUCUGGCAUUACUGACGCUGAGACGCGAAAGCAUGGAGCGAC
rnacentral:rRNA from 1 species